CCUACGGGAGGCAGCAGUGAGGAAUAUUGGUCAAUGGACGAGAGUCUGACCCAGCCAAGUAGCGUGAAGGAUGACUGCCCUAUGGGUUGUAAACUUCUUUUAUCAAGGAAUAAAACGAGGCACGUGUGCCUUUUUGCAUGUACUUUAUGAAUAAGGAUCGGCUAACUCCGUGCCAGCAGCCGCGGUAAUACGGAGGAUCCGAGCGUUAUCCGGAUUUAUUGGGUUUAAAGGGAGCGUAGAUGGGUUGUUAAGUCAGUUGUGAAAGUUUGCGGCUCAACCGUAAAAUUGCAAUUGAUACUGGCAGUCUUGAGUACAGUUGAGGUAGGCGGAAUUCGUGGUGUAGCGGUGAAAUGCUUAGAUAUCACGAAGAACCCCGAUUGCGAAGGCAGCUUACUAAACUGUGACUGACAUUGAUGCUCGAAAGUGUGGGUAUCAAACAGGAUUAGAUACCCUAGUAGUC
rnacentral:rRNA from 1 species